rnacentral:rRNA from 1 species
AACAGGUCUUCGGAUGCUGACGAGUGGCGAACGGGUGAGUAAUACAUCGGAACGUGCCCAGUAAUGGGGGAUAGCUCGGCGAAAGCCGGAUUAAUACCGCAUACGCCCUGAGGGGGAAAGUGGGGGAUCGCAAGACCUCACGUUAUUGGAGCGGCCGAUGGCUGAUUAGCUAGUUGGUAGGGUAAAGGCCUACCAAGGCGACGAUCAGUAGCUGGUCUGAGAGGACGAUCAGCCACACUGGGACUGAGACACGGCCCAGACUCCUACGGGAGGCAGCAGUGGGGAAUUUUGGACAAUGGGGGAAACCCUGAUCCAGCAAUGCCGCGUGUGCGAAGAAGGCCUUCGGGUUGUAAAGCACUUUUGUCAGGGAAGAAAUCCUUUGGGCUAAUACCCUAGGGGGAUGACGGUACCUGAAGAAUAAGCACCGGCUAACUACGUGCCAGCAGCCGCGGUAAUACGUAGGGUGCAAGCGUUAAUCGGAAUUACUGGGCGUAAAGCGUGCGCAGGCGGUUGUGUAAGACAGGUGUGAAAUCCCCGGGCUUAACCUGGGAAUUGCAUUUGUGACUGCACGACUAGAGUGUGUCAGAGGGGGGUGGAAUUCCACGUGUAGCAGUGAAUGCGUAGAUAUGUGGAGGAACACCAAUGGCGAAGG